rnacentral:rRNA from 1 species
CGGCCCAGAUUCCUACGGGAGGCAGCAGUGGGAAUAUUGCACAAUGGGCGAAAGCCUGAUGAAGCGACGCCGCUUGAGGGAUGACGGCCUUCGGGUUGUAAACCUCUUUCAGUAGGGAAGAAGCGAAAGUGACGGUACCUGCAGAAGAAGCACCGGCUAACUACGUGCCAGCAGCCGCGGUAAUACGUAGGGUGCGAGCGUUAUCCGGAAUUAUUGGGCGUAAAGAGCUCGUUGGCGGUUUGUCGCGUCUGUCGUGAAAGUCCGGGGCUUAACCCCGGAUUUGCGGUGGGUACGGGCAGACUAGAGUGCAGUAGGGGAGACUGGAAUUCCUGGUGUAGCGGUGGAAUGCGCAGAUAUCAGGAGGAACACCGAUGGCGAAGGCAGGUCUCUGGGCUGUAACUGACGCUGAGGAGCGAAAGCAUGGGGAGCGAACAGGAUUAGAUACCCUGGUAGUCCAUGCCGUAAACGUUGGGCACUAGGUGUGGGGACCAUUCCACGGUUUCCGCGCCGCAGCUAACGCAUUAAGUGCCCCGCCUGGGGAGUACGGCCGCAAGGCUAAAACUCAAAGGAAUUGACGGGGGCCCGCACAAGCGGCGGAGCAUGCGGAUUAAUUCGAUGCAACGCGAAGAACCUUACCAAGGCUUGACAUGUUCUCGAUCGCCGUAGAGAUACGGUUUCCCCUUUGGGGCGGGUUCACAGGUGGUGCAUGGUUGUCGUCAGCUCGUGUCGUGAGAUGUUGGGUUAAGUCCCGCAACGAGCGCAACCCUCGUUCCAUGUUGCCAGCACGUAAUGGUGGGGACUCAUGGGAGACUGCCGGGGUCAACUCGGAGGAAGGUGAGGACGACGUCAAAUCAUCAUGCCCCUUAUGUCUUGGGCUUCACGCAUGCUACAAUGGCCGGUACAAUGGGUUGCGAUACUGUGAGGUGGAGCUAAUCCCAAAAAGCCGGUCUCAGUUCGGAUUGGGGUCUGCAACUCGACCCCAUGAAGUCGGAGUCGCUAGUAAUCGCAGAUCAGCAACGCUGCGGUGAAUACGUUCCCGGGCCUUGUACACACCGCCCGUCAAGUCACGAAAGUUGGUAACACCCGAAGCCGGUGGCC